UAAGGAGGUGUUCCAACCCAGUUCACUGGCCAGCAGUUGCAACCAUUCGAUGCCGCCAAUCAGCAAUGCCACGAGCACCCCGAUACCGGUGACCGCGGUGUUGAACACCAGCUCGCGCACUGCAUCGGACAUCGCCCAGUCAUAGAUGCGCAGCAUCACCAGACCAUCGAGCGUAUCCAUCAGGCUCAUGCCGGCGGUAAACAGCAGCGGAAACACCAUCACGCCCCAGAGACUCAUGGCGCCAUGCUGGGCAAGGCUCGCGGACAGGCCCAGGAUCGCGAUUUCGGUGGCGGUAUCAAAACCGAGGCCAAACAGAAACCCGAUCGGGUACAUCUGCCAACUGGCGUGGAUGCGCCCGUACAGGCGCCGGAACACGCGCGACAUGAAGCCGCGCUGCUCCAGUAGCGCAUCGGUGUUGGCUUGCUCAAUGUCCGUUCCGCCGGCGCGUGUGCGCUUCAAUGCCCGCAGCAGCAGGAUGAGGAUGCGCAGGUUGACCAGACCAAUCACAGUCAGGAACAGGGCCGAGACCACGGUGCCGACCACGCCGCCCAUGCCGCGCAUCAGCGCCAUGUGCGAUUCGGUUUCCCGGGCCGCCAGCGCGAGCCCCAGCGACAGCAGAAUCACCACCGUCGAGUGACCGAGCGAGAAAAACAGACCGACGCUGCCGGGGCGCUGGCCAUCCUGGCGCACUUGCGCGUCACGUUGUCGAUCGCGGCGAUGUGAUCGGCAUCGAAGGCAUGGCGCAGGCCAAAGAAAUACGCCAUCGAGCCGAUGCCGAACAGGGCGGCGUCGUGUCCGGCCACGGCAAGCAGCGCCGGCCAGGCGCACAGGUUCAAAAAAACCACGAAGCCCAGCGGGGCCGCGCCGCGUUUCAUCCAGGACCCGGGCGAAGGGGUGGAGUCGGUGUACACGUUGAAUAGCCUCAACAGAUCCUUGGGAGUUGCUCGCCGCUGAGCCAGGAUCAAACUCUA
rnacentral:rRNA from 1 species